UAGAUAGAUGCUCGCUGGUUUGAGCGCUUAGCUGUUAACUAAGAGUUUAAAGGAUCGAGGCCUUUCUACCUAG
rnacentral:tRNA from 2 species